UUUGGUUAUACCUUUUGUUAGAUUACUCAUUUUUUUGAGAACUCUAUCACUCGACUCGGCUCACCUGAAUCUCGUUUUCAUUAUUGCUCAAAGAUGAGCCGAAUUUUCCUAGAGUUCCUCUAUUCAAUUCUUUUAUCUUCCAUUGAAUAUGAUUUUGCUUCUUUGUCAUGUGUGGAAUCUUUUAUUCUGGUGCGAGUAACUCCACAUUUAUUCUCCCUCUCGCAUUGAUUCCGCAUAAGAUGAUGUACAAUUUAAAUUUCAUUGUUGAUCGUAUUUGAUUCUUCUGUUCUAGUAUCAAUACCUUAUGAUCUUGGUUACCAAAUUUUCUCGAGGUUUCCCAAUUAUUGAAUACCCCAUCUCUAUUAUUGAUCAUGAGUGAGAUUCCUCAUCUCGCUUAAAUAAUUCACGAUUAUGAUUCCACAUAUUAUUCAAGGUUUCUUAUUUCGUUGAAAACCUUGUGAUUACUUUAGUAUCCACCUAUGUAAUCAGAUCUUACAGUUGCCUCAAUAACUAUCCUUCUUGAGUGCAAACUUUUCAUGCACCAAGUAUAGUUCAAAGCUUGUGAUCCUUUGUUUUCAUUCAUGACUUGUCUAUGAAAAGUCCAUAUAGUUAUCGUGAUUUCGGAAGUCGAUGGAGUCUGUCCACUCUUGAGAUAUUUCGAGCUAUUCGAAUUGUUGAUUCUAAUCAUCUGGGCACGAGAGCUAAGUGUUAUAACAUGGGUAAGAUGCUAUGGUGGGAGCAAAAUUUCACUUCGGUACAACUAGACGUCUUCGAGCUAACGAACCAUUUGGGCGGGUAAGUGGACACAUUAAAGAUAGAUUGCGAAAGCAUACACGGAUUAUAGAUAAUAUUAGGACAAUUAUCAAGUGACAAUACAAAUUGCCUCACAAGUGGUUCGUGGUAUAAAGUGUCGAUCGUGCACGCAGUUCAGAACCAGAUGAGCGGUGAGCAACCAAUCACAACAAAUGCAAGGGCGUGGAGAUCGAAGAUCGUACAAGGUGCUAUCAGUGAAAUUCGAUGAAUCAAAUGAAGAACGAAGAUUGCAAGAUUUUGUUUUUGAAGAAUUAACGAAUGUUCCACGAGACACCGAAUCUGAACUUAUGGAACUGCUUUUAGAUCUCACCAAGAGGGUGAUCAAGCGAAACAGAUAAGAAGAAAUACAUUCCUUUGAAGAAAAUACCAUGGAUAGCUAAGGUUUGAUUUAAAGCUUCGACCGAUGUCGAGCUCGUAUCAAUCCCUCUUAUUCCUCGUCAGACCAUCUGUAGCACUCAUAGCUACAACCCUAACUCGAUUAUUUUUUCAAUAAUUGUUGUACCUUACAAGUCACGUUAAUUGGUUGACUACCAAUAUCUCUACCUGUAUGUAUUAUACCGUUAUAUAUUAGACAUUUUGCUCGGCAGCAAGGCUACCUCUAGUACGAGACCAAUGAUUUGAAUGGUAUUGGUGAUAAUACCACGAAUAUUGAGAUUCCACAAUUGGUACUUUCUGAUACUGUUUCUUUCAUGAGCAGUUGUGGGAAUUCGUUACGAUAAGUAUUCACUCGUUAUCCAAGUCAUUUCCGAAAUUGAGAACAUAUAAGCCAUCUUUCCAAUACUAUUUCUUUUCUUUCGUGAAGCUCGACCUUAUGGAAAAUUCGUAGUAAGUUCGAGGUACGUACUAAGCUAGCACCAUCGACCAAUCUUGAGUAUUCUUCCUCUAAACGGCAUAGCGUGAAGAUAAAUUAUCAUAUGAAUGGAGAUCGGUUCUUAUUUCGGCACCAACUCUCGAGAGAGUAACCACGUAAGGGUUAUCCAUCUUGGUGACGAAUUCCUCAACAAAAAGAUGUAAAAGGUAUUUCGGAGAAACUAUCAAGUUGAAGAAGCCACAAGUUAGCAACAAGAUGAUUAUCGAAGACUAUUUCCCGUGUCCGAGUAUUAAUUGAGAAUCUGGGGACCAGAUUCCUUUAAGGAGGGGAGAUUGUAACACCCGUAAUUUAUGCUUGUGUUAUAUAUACAUAUACACAAGAGUUUAUUGUGCUUAAUAAUGAGAUUUGGGGCUGAUGUGUUAUUAUAUGAUAAUUUUGGGGCAUAAGCAUAAUAAUUCUAUAAUUAUAAAACUUGGCAGCCAAGUUUAUGACUGGGGGAUAAGUAUAAUAAAUAUUUUUAUAAACUUGGCAAUCAAGUUUAUGACUUGGUAAUCCCCGAUAAAUACGUCUCUCGUCUUCUCUCUUUCUCUAUCCUCUCUCUUUCUCUCUCGCUACUCUCUCCUUUUCUCUCUCGGUUCUUGGCUGAAUUCGAGAAAUUAAUUGAAGAAAAUUCGAAGGGGUUUGAAGAAGUGAGGUAUAUGAAACAAAUUUGAGGUUGGAAUUGCAAAUCCCCAAUUCGAUUUAUUGGCAGAAUUAGGGCUGUGUGAAGGAGGCUCUAUCAAGGGGCUAUUAUGAUCAGAUCGCCUCCGGUGGUGGUCGCAUCAGAUGAUUGGCGGUGGUGGCCGGAAUCCGACGAAGAAGACAAGCUGUCUUAGAAUCGGAUUUCAGCUUUUGGUCCUUCGAAGAAUUAAUUGCUCGGAGGCCUUAGAGGUUGAAUAUUGACGAUCAGGACACACGGUUAGAAACCUUGAGAUGUUAGCCUUCCAUUGGUGUUGGAGCUCGGUAGUAUUUAAUCGGCGGUGGUUGCCGGAAUUGGGCAAGAAGUUCAGCCCCCUCGCCGGAACCUUGAAGGAAAUAGUAUUUGCUGCCGCACCUGUUUUCGGAGCAGAAUUUGGAGGGUUUGGAGUGAGAAUUUGGGAAUCAUUCCUUCACAAAACUCGUAGAGGACCUCGAAAACUAUUGGUGUCGAGCGUACUAAAGCUCUCAUUCAAGACUUGAGCAUGACUCAAGAGUAAGGUGUUCUUAUAGCACUUGCAUUGGACUUCAGUAUCAGGUGCAUUAGUACACGAUUAUGUUGAUGGCUCUUAGGAGUAGAAGUUAUUCAGAGAUUUGAGAGAGUUCAAUCCAGUGUUGUAUUUAAGAAUGAUUGUAAUUCGAGAACUAUGAAUACAAGAUUAGUUGUGGUAUUUGGUUGUCACGUGUAUUUGAUUUUAUUGUUAAGAAAUUAAGUAAGAGACAUUAUAUUUAUU